rnacentral:rRNA from 1 species
UACGUAGGGGGCAAGCGUUGUCCGGAUUUAUUGGGCGUAAAGAGCGUGUAGGCGGCUUGGUAGGUCCGCUGUGAAAACUCGAGGCUCAACCUCGAGAUGUCGGCGGAAACCACUUGGCUAGAGUCCGGAAGAGGAGAGUGGAAUUCCGGGUGUAGCGGUGAAAUGCGUAGAUAUCAGGAGGAACACCGGUGGCGAAGGCGGCUCUCCGGUCCACAACUGACGCUGAGGUGCGAAAGCUAGGGGAGCAAACGGG